rnacentral:rRNA from 1 species
UGGGGAAUCUUAGACAAUGGGGGAAACCCUGAUCUAGCCAUGCCGCGUGAGCGAUGAAGGCCUUAGGGUUGUAAAGCUCUUUCAGUGGGGAAGAUAAUGACGGUACCCACAGAAGAAGCCCCGGCUAACUCCGUGCCAGCAGCCGCGGUAAUACGGAGGGGGCUAGCGUUAUUCGGAAUUACUGGGCGUAAAGCGCACGUAGGCGGAUUGGAAAGUUGGAGGUGAAAUCCCAGGGCUCAACCUUGGAACUGCCUUCAAAACUCCCAGUCUGGAGUUCGAGAGAGGUAAGUGGAAUUCCGAGUGUAGAGGUGAAAUUCGUAGAUAUUCGGAGGAACACCAGUGGCGAAGGCGGCUUACUGGCUCGAUACUGACGCUGAGGUGCGAAAGCGUGGGGAGCAAACA